GUAUAUAAAGCUUAACAGAUGAAAUAGACUAACGUUUAGAAGUUUGCUUUAAACAUUAUAAGUUCUGUUUUUCCUUUUUCUAUUCUCUUCGCAUAAAGGUUCGAGAUCGGUUUUCUCUGGUAAUCAUCAUGAUUAAGCCAACUUUUACCUUGAUUCUGUUACUUUUCGCGUUAACAGCAGUCCAAAGUGCAUCUGAUGGCGAACUGGUUUUCAAAGAAAUAUGUAAUUGGCGUACUAGAGAGAUAAAAGCAGGAACUUUUGAUGAAGCUAUCAAAGCUAUGAACGUUUGUCGGGAAAAAGUAUUGUCCAAAGAUGAACUUGCUACAGUCGAUAAAUGUGAAAGUGUUGUACCGAUGACCAAGGCUGACCAAGUUACCAAAACUUGUGCUGAUUUCAAUGGUAAUAAAGACAAGUAUUCUGAGCUUGUAGAAUGCGAAAAGAAAGCUGUUGGUAACAAGAUUGAAAAAUUCAUGGGAUGUUUCUUAGCCUUCGAAAGAGAUAAUGAGGGUUCGAGUGCUCAAAAAGGCCGUUAGUUUGGUGGAAAGAAAGUUAAACGAUGAAAAUAAAGAUUUGAUUCUCCCAGUUAUCAUUACAAUAUUGUAUCAAGUUUACUUUAAUAAAAAGCAAUUGAAAACAUUAAUUAUUGUUUACUCAUUACCUUUCAUGACAAAUACAGCUUAAACCAACUCGAAGAUAGAUCGGAAAUUACAAUGAUUUUGUUAGCAAUAAUGUGAUAACUCUAAUUAGUCCAUAAAUAUCAAUUUCAUAACGCAACUCUAAAAACAAUAAAAAUCUUAAUACAUGUAUCUAGUAGCUUUUAAUUUUGCCUUUUACUUAACUUAUCAUUAAUUUUGCUAAACUUUAAUUAUUCAAAUAAACAGAAUUGACUGCUAAAAUAAAUCAAAGCUUGAUUUAGUUUCGGCAGUUUAGCAUUAUCGUGCAUUAUCGGACAAUUUUAAUACUAAAUAAACAAUCGGUUUCAAUUUACUUUUGAACAUACAACAAAACAAUAACUUUGAUCCGAAGGUGCAAAUUAACCUUGAGCAAGUAAAAUCGUACGCUAAUUAAUUCAAUAUUCAAUACCAAUCGUGAUCUUUAUUUACAAUUUACAACUUGAUUCUCGACAAUUAAUCAAACAGAAGCACAACUGAGCAAAUGAAAUUUAGAUUAAUUGAUGUUUAUUACACUUUUGAAAACAGGCGAUCGGAUGGAUUGCGAACUCUAAUGAAUAGAACUUAUUUUCAGAGUAAAUCUUCAGCUGUAGAUAAUUGAUAUUAAAUAAAACCAAUUCGGUGAUGAUUUGAAAGCAUAUUAAGCUUAGUAGAUGAAACAGACUAACAUACUGCAAUUUACACUUGAACAUUAUAAGUUCAUAUUUGUCUUUUUCUUUUCUCGAAGAAAAGUUCAACGAAAAAUGUCGCUGGUAAUCAUUAUGAACCAGAAAACUUUUACUCUGUUUCUGUUAAUAUUCGGGAUUUCGUUAGCACAACGUGCAUCUGAUAUUAGAAAGAUUUUCAUAGACUUUUGUGCUCUUCGUAUUCAACGAAUAAAAGAAGGAACUUUUGAUGAAAAUAACAAAGCUACGAACGAUUGUAGGGAAAAAAUGUUGACCGUAGAUGAAAUUGCUACAAUUGCUGAAUGUGAGCGCAUUUUACUGAUAAACGAGGCUGACCAAGUUACCAAAAUUUGUGCUGAUUUCAAUGGCAUUAAAGGCAAGUUUACUGAGCUCGUGCGAUGCAUAAAGCGAGAUAUUGGUAGCACAGUCCCAAAAUUCUAUUUUUGCGAAUACGAAAAUCCAUUUGCUAAUUGAAGCAUUACCAUUACCAGGAGUAAACUGAAGAACAACUGAAAAUGGCCCGAUAUUCGAGAUACUAAUCGACUUGGUUGCUAUUUGAACCGAUUCUUCGUUAAAAUUGUCAAUAAACUCAUAAAAACCCUAAAUAAAUAAAAAAUGUCAAGGUACUUUUGAACCAGAAAAGGCAACAUAACAAUAACUUUGAUCCGAAGGUGCAAAUUAACUUUAAUCAAGUAAAAUCAUUAGCUAAUUAA